GAGUGGCUAUAUUCGUGUUCUCUUCGGAGGGGCGAAGCUACCCGACCUGAUGUCAUUCUAU
rnacentral:rRNA from 1 species